rnacentral:rRNA from 1 species
CCUAACACAUGCAAGUCGAACGGUAACAGGAAGAAGCUUGCUUCUUUGCCGACGAGUGGCGGACGGGUGAGUAAUGUCUGGGAAACUGCCUGAUGGAGGGGGAUAACUACUGGAAACGGUAGCUAAUACCGCAUAACGUCGCAAGACCAAAGAGGGGGACCCUCGGGCCUCUUGCCAUCGGAUGUGCCCAGAUGGGAUUAGCUAGUAGGUGGGGUAACGGCUCACCUAGGCGACGAUCCCUAGCUGGUCUGAGAGGAUGACCAGCCACACUGGAACUGAGACACGGUCCAGACUCCUACGGGAGGCAGCAGUGGGGAAUAUUGCACAAUGGGCGCAAGCCUGAUGCAGCCAUGCCGCGUGUAUGAAGAAGGCCUUCGGGUUGUAAAGUACUUUCAGCGGGGAGGAAGGGAGUAAAGUUAAUACCUUUGCUCAUUGACGUUACCCGCAGAAGAAGCACCGGCUAACUCCGUGCCAGCAGCCGCGGUAAUACGGAGGGUGCAAGCGUUAAUCGGAAUUACUGGGCGUAAAGCGCACGCAGGCGGUUUGUUAAGUCAGAUGUGAAAUCCCCGGGCUCAACCUGGGAACUGCAUCUGAUACUGGCAAGCUUGAGUCUCGUAGAGGGGGGUAGAAUUCCAGGUGUAGCGGUGAAAUGCGUAGAGAUCUGGAGGAAUACCGGUGGCGAAGGCGGCCCCCUGGACGAAGACUGACGCUCAGGUGCGAAAGCGUGGGGAGCAAGCAGAUUAGAUACC